rnacentral:rRNA from 1 species
CAGCCGCCACGGUAACACGGAGGGUGCAAGCGUUAAUCGGAAUUACUGGGCGUAAAGCGCACGCAGGCGGUCUGACAAGUCAGAUGUGAAAUCCCCGGGCUUAACCUGGGAACUGCAUUUGAAACUGUCAGGCUGGAGUCUUGUAGAGGGGGGUGGAAUUCCAGGUGUAGCGGUGAAAUGCGUAGAGAUCUGGAGGAAUACCGGUGGCGAAGGCGGCCCCCUGGACAAAGAUUGACGCUCAGGUGCGAAAGCGUGGGGAGCAAACAGGAUUAGAUACCCCGGUAGUCCCUGUCUCUUAUAC